UUCCGGUUGAUCCUGCCGGACCCUACUGCUAUCGGGGGAGGACUAAAACAUGCAAGUCGUGCGUCUCCAAGCUAUGAUGGAGACGCGGCGUACAGCUCAGUAACACGUGGCUAACCCACCCUUGAGACGGAGACAACCCCGGGAAACUGGGGCUAAUCCCCGAUAGGAGAAGACACCUGGAAGGGGUCUUUUCCCAAAAGGCGCUUAGAUCAUGCUUCUAGACGUCGCUCAAGGACGGGGCCGCGGCCGAUCAGGUUGUUGGUGUGGUAAUGGCUCACCAAGCCUAUAACCGGUACGGGCCGUGAGAGCGGGAGCCCGGAGAUGGGCACUGAGAUAAGGGCCCAGGCCCUACGGGGCGCAGCAGUCGCGAAAACUCCGCAAUGCGCGAAAGCGUGACGGGGCUACCCCGAGUGCCGUCCGCUGAGGAUGGCUUUUCCCCGGUGUAAUGAGCCGGGGGAAUAAGGAGAGGGCAAGUCUGGUGUCAGCCGCCGCGGUAAUACCAGCUCUCCGAGUAGUAGGGACGAUUAUUGGGCUUAAAGCGUCCGUAGCCGGCUUAGCAAGUCCUCUGUUAAAUUCAGCGACCUAAUCGCUGAGCCGCGGGAGAUACUACUAGGCUAGGAGGCGGGAGAGGCCGACGGUAUUCCCGGGGUAGGGGUGAAAUCCUAUAAUCCCGGGAGGACCACCAGUGGCGAAGGCUGUCGGCUAGAACGCGCUCGACGGUGAGGGACGAAAGCUGGGGGAGCGAACCGGAUUAGAUACCCGGGUAGUCCCAGCUGUAAACGAUGCAGGCUAGGUGUUGGAGCGGCUACGAGCCGCUUCGGUGCCGCAGGGAAACCGUUAAGCCUGCCGCCUGGGGAGUACGGUCGCAAGGCUGAAACUUAAGGAAUUGGCGGGGGAGCA
rnacentral:rRNA from 1 species